rnacentral:lncRNA from 1 species
UGUGAUAUGAUGUGCAGGUCUCACGUGGCGUAGGUUAUCCGGCGUUGAGACAGACCCCAUACGUGGCGUUGGUUGUACCGGCGUAUGGGGAGAUAUAAUGAUAGUAUGGCAUGGUCGCACGUGGCGUAGGUUAUCCGGCGUGUCGACAGACCCCAUACGUGGCGUUGGUUGUACCGGCGUAUGGGGAGCUUUGUGAUAUAAUAUUGAGGUCCCGCGUGGCGUAGGUUAUCCGGCGUUGGGACAGGCCCCAUACGUGGCGUUGGUUGUACCGGCGUAUGGGGAGAUAUAAUGAUAGUAUGGCAUGGUCGCACGUGGCGUAGGUUAUCCGGCGUGUCGACAGACCCCAUACGUGGCGUUGGUUGUACCGGCGUAUGGGGAGCUUUGUGAUAUAAUAUUGAGGUCCCGCGUGGCGUAGGUUAUCCGGCGUUGGGACAGGCCCCAUACGUGGCGUUGGUUGUACCGGCGUAUGGGGAGAUAUUAUGAUAGUAUGGCAUGGUCGCACGUGGCGUAGGUUAUCCGGCGUGUUGACAGGCCCCAUACGUGGCGUCGGUUGUACCGGCGUAUGGGGAGAUUAUAUGAAAUACAAAGAAAUGAAAUAAGGUAUCGCCCAAGUGUGGAAUUGGGUUUUAUGGAAGAACUACGUGUGGCUUGAUCCCUCAAGGAGGGUACGUAGGCAGCCUGAGG